AUUGAACGCUGGCGGCAUGCCUUACACAUGCAAGUCGAACGGCAGCACGGGAGCAAUCCUGGUGGCGAGUGGCGAACGGGUGAGUAAAGUAUCGGAACGUGCCCAGUCGGGGGGGAUAACGUAGCGAAAGUUACGCUAAUACCGCAUACGAUCUAUGGAUGAAAGCGGGGGAUCGCAAGACCUCGCGCGAUUGGAGCGGCCGAUAUCAGAUUAGGUAGUUGGUGGGGUAAAGGCUCACCAAGCCGACGAUCUGUAGCGGGUCUGAGAGGACGACCAGCCACACUGGUACUGAGACACGGCACAGACUCCUGCGGGAGGCAGCAGUGGGGAAUGUUGGACAAUGGGCGAAAGCCUGAUCCAGCCAUGCCGCGUGCAGGAUGAAGGCCUUCGGGUUGUAAACUGCUUUUGUACGGAACGAAAAGGUUUGGCCUAAUAAGCUGAGCUCAUGACGGUACCGUAAGAAUAAGCACCGGCUAACUACGUGCCAGCCGCCGCCGUAA
rnacentral:rRNA from 1 species